GAAAAGUAGAGUCAGGAUAUCUCAAGAGAAAACACGACCAUGACGAGAAAACUGAACUGGACCCAAAUGUAUGAAGUGCAUGAAGCCACAUCUGUGAAGAUGGCCUGUGUGUGGACCCAAGUAGUUUUGGAAAUGACCAGAGAGGCCAUCUGUUCCCAGGACCAGGGAGGCCCCAUUCUGUUCCCUGCCCUGCAUGGCCAGCUGUCCCUGAACAGCUUAGCUGGCCCAUCGGGUUCUGUGCUCCUCCUGGAUUCCACCGAACAGCCCAAUGUUGCUGGUCAGGGCACAAGGCAGAUAGGGCGCCAGGGCUGAGGCUUGCUUUAGAGGCUACACAGCAAGGCUUGGAUCAUAGUGGCCACGAGGUGCCUUCAAAUGAGUAAUAGUCACUUCUAGUCAACCAGAUAGCCUGUCAUUCUCAAAUGAGCAUAGCAAAGGCCAUUUAUUUAGAGCUUGUCACAGUAAGAUGAACAGUCCCCAUUGCUGUGUUUCCCAAAGACUCAAAGAUGGGCAGGGGAUGGGGAGAGCUUUACAGAGGAGAGAAGGGGAUGCUCGGAGGCCCUCGGGGAAGCCACGAGACUGAGGAAACUGGAAUGUUACCAGAAGUGGAGGGCCCCUCCUCAGUAGUUAGAGGAGCCUAUUUGCCUUCUUUUUGUUGGUCCUAAAUUGGAAGUCAGGACAAAUUUUAGGAAGCUGUCAGCUACUAAUCAAGACUUGAUUGCUGGGUUGAUUGAUACAGGGAUAACGAUCACUGUUUAGUUUCCUGGACUGUCUCUCAAAACAGACUCCCUGCACAUAUGACUUAGAGAUAACAGGCUGGUUUCCUGGGCUGGUGAGCUGAGAGACGGGGUGGGCCCUGGGGCAGGCUGCAGCCGAUUGUGGGGGUCAGAGGUCUAUUUUUUUAAGAUUUUAUUUAUUUAUUCAGAGAGAGAGAGAGAGAGGCAGAGACACAGGCAGAGGGAGAAGCAGGCUCCAUGCAGGGAGCCUGAUGUGGGACUCGAUCUUAGGACUCCAGGAUCACACCCCGGGCUGCAGGCGGCGCUAAACCGCUGCACCACCAGGGCUACCAGAGGUCUAUUUUUUUUCCCCAGAGUUCUAUUUUUAUAUGUGGUCUCUCCAUUGUCUGUUUGUACAGUCUUAUGUCUCUGCAUGACAGCAUGUGGAGAGAGAGGAAGAGGAGAGAGAAAAAAAGGGGAGGGGGAGGGAUGGCAGGAGGCCCCUCAGUGGCUGGCAGGCCCUCACAGCCUCCUAUGGGGACAGUGACCCGCAUUCAAGGUCUCCAGCCCAGGACCCCAGGAAAAGUAGAUGUGUUCUGAGUGCACGGACUUCAUAACUGAAUACAAUAAAGGUCCUUUCAGAAAACAAAAGAAAAACUGUCCAACAUUUUGUCUUUCCAGACAAAUUUUUAUCUUGUACAUGUGAAACAAUUCAACUUUAGAGUCUGUCCUCCGUCUCCGGGAGCAUUUGGAGCCAGCAAGACACAUGUCCCAUCUCCAAUGUGAGCAGAGGCCCUGGGCUGUCACACAUGGAAGCAUUUGAACCCCAAAUAUAGUGGCCGUCAGUGUGUAUACGUGGGGCGGCUGCCGGGGCCCUGGUCACACAGUUUCUCAUGGAAUAAUGCAUGUUGCCUCAGGGACAGUGCUUGCCACUGGAUGUCCAGCUGUGCCCGGAUGCACGCAGGCCUCUGCUGGCUUUCCCAGGAAUGAGGACUGACUUCCUGCCACCAGCCACACUCUCUGUCCAGAAUCCUCCACGACAUUUUCCUCGCUCUUUCUGUGGCCCUUGAGAAGACUGACCCAUGCCUCCAUGUUGAGUACAGCCCAACACUGUUUCUGGGAUUCCUUUCCAACCUGUGACCUCUCAGAAGCCCUGGGUUUAUAUUUCUGGAUUGUCUAUAGCUGAAUGGGUUUUCAAGACAAGUCUGUACGGUUUCACAGGCCAGAAGAUGGGUCCUGGCGCCCAUGGUGGGUGCUGUGAGCCAAGUCGGGGUCCAGAGAGUAGAGGGUCUGGAGGCUGCACCCCCGAAUGGUUUCAAUUCAACAAAUGAAGUGCCAGGUAUGAUAGAACAUCAUUCUCUUAGCGGAGGGCUCAGAAAUACGGGGAGACACAGCCCGAGGACUUCCAGGCCAGCCCGGGGAGCAGAGGGUGUGAGACUGUCAGAGGGCUGCAUGCAAGCCCUCUGUGGAGGGUGGUGGAAGGUCCAGGGACAGAUAAUGGACAUGUAGGAAGAGGUGGACCUUCGUGGAAGGCAGGUGCAGGAAGUAGAACUUCCAUGGGUGGGAUAGAUGAUUGAGUUGAAAGAUUUGCUUCAAAACCAUCCAGCUAACCAUAGUAGAACCUAAAGAUGCUGGAUGAAAAUCGGUUGGUCCCACUCAUAUUGCAUUGGAUGACUCUUUGGGGAAACAUGACCUUCUCUGUUACUAUGUGUUUUGAUGAAUUAUUUCCUUUAUUGCAUGUUUGUCUGCGGAACACUCACCCUGAGCCAGAUCCUGCUCCAGGCCUUAGGGGCACAUAAGUGGAUAAAACAAGACUUACAUGCUUUCUCAAGAUGUGGAUUCCAAGAGGGAAGUAGAUAUGUAAAUAAAAGGUAAUAUAAAAAUAUCUUUGAGGGAGACCUGGGUGGCUAGGUGGUUGAGCAUCCCAGGUCGUGACCCCGGGGUCCCAGGAUCGAGUCCCACAUUGGGCUCCCUGCAUGGGGCCUGCUUCUCCCUCUGCCUGUGUCUCUGCCUCUCUCUCUCUCUGUGUCUCUCAUGAAUAAAUAUUUUAAAAAUAUACUUUUGGACUUGUCUCCAUCUUCACCUGGUGGAGAUAGGAAUUAAGAGAAAUGCAUUAACAUCGGUCAUGUGCUUGUUACAUGCCCAGCACCCUGACUGUACACACCUUUGUGCAAUUUACAGCCGGUGGAAAUGGCAGAUGCUGCUGUUCUGACUUGCUGUAAAGAAACCACACGAAGUGCAGCUCAGGCAAGGGUAUUAAUCUAGAAACCACUCAUGAGGGUGACUGGAGAUGGGACCAACAUAAGAAGAUGUGGGAACAGGAGAGGCACCACUUACCACGGGCGGACCCAGGAAUCUUAGUAACAAAGUGUUUGCAAAAAACACUGUAGAGAAAAUUUACAAAAUGUCUCUGGAGAAUUUAUAGGGUAAGUCGACCCUCCACCGUGGGGAGAGUCAGGGUCACAAACGUGUCACUGAGUCCUAUAUCGGUGUAGGAUUCUAAACAUUUCCAAAUGAGUAGUGGGGAUUAGAAUCCAUGCCUCUGGGAUCGCACUCAGAACAGAAACACUCAGAGAAGGAAUGAGGAGUUUAUGACAAAGAUAAAGGAGAAGACGGGCUGAUGUACGUCAAGACUCUUUCAAGGCUCUAAUGAGAUUAAUCUGGAGAUUGACACAUGCAUCAACAAAACAGAGAAGCAAGGCCAAGAUUGUGUGGAUGUGUAAAUAUAUAUAAUAAAUAUAGAAAGAGAUGUAUUAAUAUGUUCAUUUAUGCCAAACUUCUCAUAGAAUGUUUAGAAAUACACUUCACGAUCUCUUGAAAAAGAAGGGCUGACUUAGACAAUAAUAUGACAGACACACCUCAUAGAGAAAGAGAAGGAAAAAUCAGUCCAGAUCAAAUCUCAGUACUUCUCUUUGAGGAACAUGCUGUAAAGAAAGCUGAGAGAGCCAUGGCAGGUAGCCGUUUGGGAAAAGACAUCUGUGUCAUACAUGACAGAGGGAUCAGUAUCCAAAAUACUGAAAGAACUUGAGGAAAUUAAUUGGAAAACAAGCAGCCCCAUAGAUAAAUUGUCAAAGUGUGAACAAGAGUUUCACAUGCAAGGAAUCCUGAAAGAGUAAUGGGAAGAGUCUCAGCCUCACUGUGAGCAGCGGUGUGGGAGCGCGGCGGCCCCGAGAGCGUCCCCUUGUCAUCAGACAGGCAGGAGGACAGCGAGGUGCUAAUUCCGGGGCAGCUGAGUCCAGGGGUGGGUAUGCUGCCGGCUCCAGGGCCGCACACGGUACAGGGGGGAGAAGCAGUGAGGAAAUGCCCAGCAAGUUCGGAAGGGCACAGACCCUACACCGGGCACGUCCACCUGCAAAGUCACCCCCAGUGAGUCCAGCUGGUGGCAGUACUGACGCUGGGUGACGUCUCUGUGAGGGGAAACUUGGGAGCAAUCCCAGCGCCCAACGCUGGAGAAUAGGUCUGUGUCUGACCUUAGGAAGCAGUGUGCUUGUGCAUCAUGUGGCAUUUGUCUCCUUGUGACCGGCCCAUGUCACUCAUGGAAGGCACAGCUCCUGGCGACUGCUCGUGGGGGUGGGGGAAGGACCCAGUGUGCCGGAGUGGAUGAGACUCCUCUGGGGCGAGGGCUCUGUCCACCGUGCGGCUGCCUGCCUGAUGGUUUUGUGUUGGGGUUAACAGGUGAUGGGCGGGUUAGGGAUGCUCAGGGGAAGGUGACGAAGUCAGGUCCCAAGGGCUGCUCUUUAGAGACCCACGUGUCUCCUGGAGACUUCCAGCAGGCACUUGACUCUGUGGGUCUGGAGCUCAGCAGAAAGGCCAGACACACAGGUCAAGUGUGGGAAUCUGUAGCUCAUGAGAGUGUACAGGUGGUCAUUGGAGGUUCUGGAUUGAAACUGUUGCAAGGUAUAUCAGCUUUCGUGUCUGCGUCCUGGGGAGAGACCAUGCCGUCUUGAUGGGUCUCCCAGCUUUGCCUUUUGGGCCCAGUUCCUAAGGCUUGAUCCCUUUCCAUCCUGGCUCCCUGCUCUCCGCCUCUGCAGGUGGUGGCCACGUAAAGUCCAAGCGUCCCGCUGUGCCCACACUGUGCAAAAUGUGAACAUGAGGGCUUUGAAGAGCAGUCACAGAAAUGCCCGCUCAGCGGCCGCUCCAGCCUCCCCACACCCCACAGACUCAGCUCCAGAGGAAGUCAAGUUUAACUCCUGAAAAUGAAGGAAAAGGCGAGGGGUAUGAGUGUGUCCCCUGCAUGCUGAGGUCACCAUGACACCUUGCAACUUUGAGGAAGAGAAAUGCUUCAUUAUGGGUGAAAAGAAGCCACUUCUGAAGCCACUUCAACACCCCCUGGUUGAGCGCUGAGCCCAGAAGACUCGGCCGAUGUAGCCCUGGGGGCUUACCUCCUGCAGAGCUCAGCUCCACCCCACCUGGACAGGUGCUGUGCCCUUGGUUUGGUGUUUCCCGUGAGAUUCACAGGCUGGGAGCACGAGAUGUCUGCAUGUCAAGAACUGGAUCUCGCUGAGCACCUGCAAAGCCGAUGUGCGUCCCGUGGGGACGGACACUCAGCUCCGCCAUGGCCUGGGCACCGUCGUGCUGUUUCUGUUUCUUUCUAUCCCUUCGCUGUCUGUGUGUUUGGGGACGUAAGCACCACAUGCAGAGCAGGUGGUGGCCCAGAUGCUCUCCGGGGUAAUCGGAGCUUCCAGAGGGUGGCCCUCAGAUGGCUGCCAACCAUCGAAUCCCAGGUGUCUGCCUGGCCUGAGGUCACCGACUGAAACAGCCCUGGGGCCAGACUGCUGCCUUCCCGGCACCCCGGCAGCCCGGGACAAGGAGGUUGUCACUGAGGCUCACUGUCCUAAAUUAAGUGCUUGUGAGCUGUUCAAGUUGUAUUCCAUGAAAACAGGGUCAUGAAAUUAGGGCUUCCUCAGGGAAAGCCACAUGAGCACAGACCGACUAACCGUGGGUGUGGUGCACACCAGGCCGCCACGCGUCUGCUGUCCAGCUCCCCGAGUCCUUGGGUAAGGGUACACAUGACCUGUGAGUCCACACAUGUGGAUUUUCAUGACAAGGCCCGGGGGGAGGGGGGGAGGAUGCUUUGGGGACUGGCGAACAACGCAGUUGUGUUGGUAGGGCAGGGCAAAUAUAUACAGUCUGUAUUCCUUAUUUGUAAUAUGUAUUUUUAUUUAUUAAUGCUUA